GACGAACGCUGGCGGCGUGCUUAACACAUGCAAGUCGAACGGAAAGGCCCUGCUUUUGUGGGGUGCUCGAGUUGCGAACGGGUGAGUAACACGUGAGUAACCUGCCCUUGACUUUGGGAUAACUUCAGGAAACUGGGUCUAAUACCGGAUAGGAGCUCCUGCUGCUUGGUGGGGGUUGGAAAGUUUCGGCGGUUGGGGAUGGACUCGCGGCUUAUCAGCGUGUUGGUGUGGUAGUGUCUUACCAAGGCUUUGACGGGUAGCCGGCCUGAGAGGGUGACCUGCCCCAUUGGGACUGAGAUACGGCCCAGACCACUACGGGAGGCAGCAGUGGGGAAUAUUGCACAAUGGGCUGAAGCCUGAUGCAGCACCGCCGCGUGCGGGAUGACGGCAUUCGGGUUGUAAUCCGCUUUCGCCUGUGACGAAGCGUGAGUGACGGUAAUGGGUAAAUAAGCUCCGGCUAACUACGUG
rnacentral:rRNA from 1 species